UACGAAGGGGGCUAGCGUUGUUCGGAUUUACUGGGCGUAAAGCGCACGUAGGCGGAUCCUUAAGUCAGGGGUGAAAUCCUGGAGCUCAACUCCAGAACUGCCUUUGAUACUGAGGAGCUUGAGUCCGGGAGAGGUGAGUGGAACUGCGAGUGUAGAGGUGAAAUUCGUAGAUAUUCGCAAGAACACCAGUGGCGAAGGCGGCUCACUGGCCCGGUACUGACGCUGAGGUGCGAAAGCGUGGGGAGCAAACAGG
rnacentral:rRNA from 1 species